GGUGGGCAGAGCCCGGGGCACCGCCGGGCGGCCGUCGGGCGCUGGGAGACUGAGGGAGAGAGAGAGAAAUCCGGUUAAAAUCUCAGUCCCAGGGAGGUUUAACCACGGAUCGGUGCCGAUCGGAUUAUUCCUUAAAGGGGACGCGCCAUUGUCCAGGGAUUGGAGCCUAGGGGGCUCCAGGGCGGGGACCGGCGGCGCCCGAGGAGCAAGGCAGCUGCACUUGGACUGGGGACCGCCUGUAACAUUCCGUGUUCUGUUUGAUACAUGGCAAAUCACUACUGCUUUGCACCAGUGUGCCCAUUUGAGUGCCUAUAAAGUACAAGCUCCAGAUUGAAAAAGCUUCUAGAUGGAUCCUUUCCAAAUUUGGAGUUUUUUCUACAGACUCUGUGCCUCAACAAUCGUUUCUAAGUGGUAAGGAUAUGAAUUUUUUUUUUUUUUUUAAGAAAAACAGUAUAAUAGAAAUUUGUAAAGCAAUUUUUGUUUGGAUUACUUUCCUCCUUUUCUCUGUCUUCUC
rnacentral:lncRNA from 1 species